UACGUAGGGGGGCUAGCGUUGUCCGGAAUCAUUGGGCGUAAAGAGCUCGUAGGUGGUUCGGUAAGUCAGGUGUGAAACCUCCAGGCUCAACCUGGGAGACGCACUUGAUACUGCUGUGACUGGAGUCCGGUAGGGGGAGCGUGGAAUUCCUGGUGUAGCGGUGAAAUGCGCAGAUAUCAGGAGGAACACCGGUGGGGCGAAGGCGGGUCUCUGGGCAAACAACUGACGCUGAGGAGCGAAAAGCGUGGGGGAGCGAACAGG
rnacentral:rRNA from 1 species